AUUUAAGAGCGCGGAAUCCCCCUAGACUAAAACACAUCCAGAAAGGAUCAGCCUUUAUUAAGGGCGAAAUGAAGCUAUAGCUAUAAAAAAAUUGGACGGAUUCGAACUCAAGACCAUACGACUCUUAGCGCAUGCAAUAAUCAACUAUACCAUAGUCAUCUUACAGUAACUAUGCACACGAAUCGUUGUGCCACACGAAACACAUUUUUUCUUGAAAUUUGAGAGAUGUUUCUGGAAAAAAUUAAUGCACUAGAGGGUUAACAUACCACCAUCAUGUGCAACAAGAGUGAAUAUUUAUAUUUCAUUGGACAGAUGUUCUUACUGAAGUUUCCAGUUGACAUUGCAUUUAUUGAUGAUUCAACAACAGAAGACGCAUUGUACAUUAAAAAGAAACAAGCCAUUUAUCGUACUUAUUUAAUUUGUAUUUUUAUUUUAUUUUUUAUUUGAUAGAAAUAUUUUUUUAAAAUCCCAAUCGGUUGAAUGGGAAAUAAUUUCGUCGCGUUAUUCUUCUCUUACGGUAACAAUUCAAAAAUAAUAUAAUUACAAUUAACGUUAAAAUCAAUAGUAUAUACAUAGGCAGACUGAAUGAUUCAUCUUUCAUAUGAAUAGAUUUGUUUAAAUUUGGUGAUUGUUGUGGAAAUGGAUCGCUAUCAAAAUCAACAUUUUCAUUUCUAACAUUCUCUCCACUUGUGUCGAAUUUAUUACUCAACAUGGGCAUAUCAACCGAUGGAUUCUUAUUUCGCCAACUCUUUGCCGGUAGAUCAAUGUCGUCUGGACUCAGAUUUCCUAAUGAACGAAAUUUCAUUUAGAGCGAACGUUUUAUACUGUGAUUAAAUAAAUUGAAAUGAUUUUCUUUUAAAUUGCACAUUACGUACCUCACCUUUUUGACUUUCAAGCUUUCGCCGAAGAUUUGAUUCGCCCACUUCAUAUAAAUCAUCUUUGCUUCGUCCAUUUAAAUGAAAAUCAGCUGGAGCGCUAAUAUUUAAAAAUAUUGGCGUUUCCCACU